GAAGGUGUGGCUCAGUGGUUGAGUCCCUGCUUAGCAAGCAUGAGGUCUGGAGUUCAAACUCUGGUACUGUCA
rnacentral:tRNA from 1 species